AGGGAAUAGAUACCCGGGUAGUCCACGCUGUAAACGAUGAGUGCUGGACGUUGGGCGGGUUUACCUGCCGGUGUCGCAGCUAAACGCGUUAAGCACUCCGCCUGGGGAGUACGGCCGCAAGGUUAAAACUCAAAAGGAAUUGACGGGGGUCCCGCGACCAAGCGGUGGAGCAUGUGGUUUAAUUCGACGUCAACGCGCAGAACCUUACCAGCCCUUGACAUGGGCGACGGGGUCCAGAGAUGGACUCUUUCUCGCAACGAGACCGCUACACAGGUGCUGCAUGGCUGUCGUCAGCUCGUGUCGUGAGAUGUUCGGGUUAAU
rnacentral:rRNA from 1 species